GAUAAACGCUGGCGGCGUGCAUAAUACAUGCAAGUCGAGCGGACGUACGCGAAACUUGCUUCUCUGAUGUUAGCUGCGGGCGGGUGAGUAAGAAAUGGAUAAGCUACCUAUCAGACUGGGAUAACUUAGGGAAAGAGGAGCUUAUAAAUAAUGAUAUUUUCAAACACAUGAUUCGAAAAUGAAAGACAAUCAUGCUGUCGCUUAUAGAUGGAUUUGCGCUGGAUUAGCUAGUUGGUAGGGUAACGGCUUACCAAGGCGACGAUGCAUAGCCGACCUGAGAGGGUGAUCGGUCACCCGAGAACUGAGACACGGUCCAGACUCCGACGGGAGGCAGCAGUAGGGAAUCUUCCGCAAUGGGCGGAAGCCUGACGGAGCAAAGGCGGGUGAGUGAUGAGGAGCGUCGGAUCGUAAAACACUGUUAUUAGGGAAGUACAUAUGUGUAAGUAACGGGGCACAACUUGACGGUACCUAAGCAGAAAGCCACGGCUAACUACGUG
rnacentral:rRNA from 1 species